GCCAGACUCCUACGGGAGGCAGCAGUGGGGGAUAUUGCACAAUGGGGGGAACCCUGAUGCAGCGACGCCGCGUGGGUGAAGGAGCGUUUCGGCGCGUAAAGCCCUCUCGGCAGGGAAGAAGGAGGACGGUACCUGACUAAGAAGCCCCGGCUAACUACGUGCCAGCAGCCGCGGUAAUACGUAGGGGGCAAGCGUUAUCCGGAUUUACUGGGUGUAAAGGGGGCGCAGACGGCAGCGCAAGCCAGGAGUGAAAGCCCGGGGCCCAACCCCGGGACUGCUCUUGGAACUGCGCGGCUGGAGUGCAGGAGGGGCAGGCGGAAUUCCUGGUGUAGUGGUGAAAUGCGUAGAUAUUAGGAGGAACACCAGUGGCGAAGGCGGCCUGCUGGACAGUAACUGACGUUGAGGCUCGAAAGCGUGGGGAGCAAACAGGAUUAGAUACCCGAGUA
rnacentral:rRNA from 1 species